UACGUAGGGUGCAAGCGUUGUCCGGAAUUAUUGGGCGUAAAGAGCUUGUAGGCGGUUUGUCGCGUCUGCUGUGAAAUUUCGGGGCUCAACCCCGAACUUGCAGUGGGUACGGGCAGACUAGAGUGUGGUAGAGGAGAGUGGAAUUCCUGGUGUAGCGGUGAAAUGCGCAGAUAUCAGGAAGAACACCAAUGGCGAAAGCAGCUCUCUGGGACGGUACUGACGCUGAGACGCGAAAGCGUGGGGAGCGAACAGG
rnacentral:rRNA from 1 species